AAGGACAGAUUCACAAGGAUGCAGCAGCUAAAUCAGACAGACUGAGUGUUACAGCAGACUGUUCUCUGGUUAUAAAGAAGGUCUCAGUGGAGGAUGCUGGUAUUUACACCUUCAGACAGUUUAUAAAUGGACAACAACAAGGACCAGACUCUUACAUUUAUCUGUCUGUUGUUAACAUGGUUAAACAAAACCAGAAAGAUAAAAUCCUCUUAAUCUGCUCUGUGAUGGAAUAUGGCUACUGUAGUCACACAGUGGAGUGGCUGAAGGAGGGAACAGAGGAAAAGUUUUCAGACCAGGAGAAAUCAGGACAGUCCUGCUCUGCUACUGUGACGUUUCCAGCAUCUGUCCGUAACUCAGAGUCAAACCUUCCUCCAUUCCUAAAGUGUAAAGUGACACAUAGUUACACUAACAAAGAGCAGCUGUUUGACUUCAGGCUUCAGUCCUCUGGUGGGAGAACAGAUUCAACAUCAACAACAACAAAACAGGCCACAAUAAAAACAAUCACCACCACACAACCACC